rnacentral:rRNA from 1 species
AUACGGAGGGAGCGAGCGUUAAUCGGAAUUACUGGGCGUAAAGCGCGCGUAGGCGGCUUUGUAAGUCGGAUGUGAAAGCCCAGGGCUCAACCCUGGAAUUGCAUUCGAUACUGCAGAGCUAGAGUAUGGUAGAGGGAAGUGGAAUUUCCGGUGUAGCGGUGAAAUGCGUAGAUAUCGGAAGGAACACCAGUGGCGAAGGCGACUUCCUGGGCCAAUACUGACGCUGAGGUGCGAAAGCGUGGGGAGCAAACAGGAUUAGAAACCCCAGUAGUCC